CGAACUUGCCAUUUGCCAUUAAGUCGUUGAUAGUGUGUGGUGUGUUGCGGUCACGCGUUUUAAAAAAAAUAAUAGUGACGAUUAUAGUGUGAUUAGUGACGAGCUUUGCGAUUUAUUAAUACAAAAAUGAGUCAUGGUAAUAGUGGAUCCAGUUCUAAUCGCCCUCCGCCACGUAUUGAUGGAAUGGUGUCUCUGAAAGUUGAUAAUUUAACUUAUCGGACGACUCCAGAGGACCUACGUAGAGUUUUUGAGCGCUGCGGUGAAGUAGGUGAUAUUUACAUACCACGCGACAGAUACACUCGCGAAAGCCGAGGCUUUGCAUUUGUAAGAUAUUACGACAAGAGAGAUGCUGAGGAUGCAUUGGAAGCUAUGGAUGGUCGUAUGUUAGAUGGCAGGGAGUUGCGUGUGCAAAUGGCUCGCUUUGGUCGCCCAACAUCCCCAAAUAGACGUAAUGGCGGUCGUCGUGGUGGAGGUGGAGGAGGAGGUGGUAGUGGUGGACGCCGUCGUUCACGUUCACCCGUACGGCGCCGCUCUCGUAGUCCCCGUCGUCGUUCAUAUUCACCACGUUCGCGUUCACGUUCAUCUGGCAGUCGCUCACCAGUACGUCGCAAUAAGUUUUCACGUAGCCCCAUACGGAAAUCUGCAACACGUAGUCAAAGUCGUAAUGGCAUUGAUCGCGGGGCACGUAGUAUUUCGCGUACACUAAGCCGCAACUAAAUCAUUCACCUUUCUUAACCAAAUGCAACAAAAUCUUUGACAUUUUAAUAAACCAUGCAAUUUUACAUUUGGGCUAACUAACUGAUGAUGUAACACCAGAAGGCUAACCUGUUGUUCGUGUAAGGCUGUAAAGUGGGAGAAAGAGAUUUAAAGUAGGGGCGUAAUUUUGAUAAGGCGGUUUGCUGCUGCUGCUGCUUCUGCUUCUGUUGCUGCUACUGCAACAUACAUAUUUAAUUUUAAAAUAUGAAAAAGCAAGAAUAAUUUAUUACAAAAAAUAUCAACGAAUUAGCUAGAAGUGGUAAGUGGUAUUCGUAAAACUGAGUGCAAGAAAGAGUGGCUAAAAGUGGUAACAGGUAGUAUGAGGUGAAAGCUGGAAAAGGGUCAGUUAAUGUCUCAAUUCCUGUCGAUCAACCAAGCCAAGUCAAGCCAAGCGCGUACGAUUGCACACAGCAGUAGUUAGAAAGCAGUUCGUAAUACAGGUUAGCAAAGGAGCUUUUAUGUUUAUAACGUGCACGAGCGUUAAGUGUUACCAUCUCAACUCAAUGAUGCAAAGCGUAAUUAAAAGUAUACUUUUUCUUCAUAACAGUUACUGUACAACGAGUGAGUUGCAGCUCUGCGGCGUCUCUCUCUAAACCUAAUUUUGCUGUUCAUCUUCCGUUUGAAUAAAUGUCCAGUUCUGUCAUCCUGCAUUUUGAAAGCACACUUAAAACGGCUUUGAGAACAAUUUAAACAAGCUGCCUGCAACGCAAGGUCUUUUGAUUAGUGCCCAUUGCUGGUUGCUGCACGCUGUAUAGUGUUAUUGGUGUUUGGUGACAUCGUGACAUCCUUUUCAUCUCGCCACGCGAGUGUUGCUGCCAAGUGAAAAUCUAAUAUCUAUAAUUUAGCAGAUUUUCUCAAGUUUUGUAAAUCAAUAUGUAGGUGAUUCUGUAUUUAGCUGUUUCUUUCUGCGGCAGUUAGUAUGUUUCUUAUUUGCGGCUCCUUCGCCACUUCUAAAUUAAAGUAAAGUAAAGUCGGUUCAACUAAUUUACUAUGCAGGUUAUCUAUCGCAAUUGAAGUAGUUAUUGUGUAUUGGAUAUUCAGUACUAUACUUCUAAGUAAUACUAUCAACAAUAACACAACUGUGGUAAUUCUAUGAGGACAAAUUAUUAUUUCAGCAAACAUUUGAAGUGAGAAGAAGAUUUAAAUGAGGGGUGAGUAUUUUGACUAACAAAUAGUAUUCUUUUUCUUCUAUUUUACUAAUUAGUACUCGUCUUAAAAGCAUAAACUUUAAGUAUUUUUUUUUUUUACAUCAAUACAAUCUUAAUAAAUGAAC